AUUGAACGCUGGCGGCAUGCCUUACACAUGCAAGUCGAACGGCAGCACGGGAGCAAUCCUGGUGGCGAGUGGCGAACGGGUGAGUAAUAUAUCGGAACGUGCCCAGUAGUGGGGGAUAGCCCGGCGAAAGCCGGAUUAAUACCGCAUACGACCUGAGGGUGAAAGCGGGGGAUCGCAAGACCUCGCGCUAUUGGAGCGGCCGAUAUCAGAUUAGCUAGUUGGUGGGGUAAAGGCCUACCAAGGCGACGAUCUGUAGCUGGUCUGAGAGGACGACCAGCCACACUGGGACUGAGACACGGCCCAGACUCCUACGGGAGGCAGCAGUGGGGAAUUUUGGACAAUGGGCGCAAGCCUGAUCCAGCCAUGCCGCGUGCGGGAAGAAGGCCUUCGGGUUGUAAACCGCUUUUGUCAGGGAAGAAACGGCUCUUGCUAAUAUCGAGAGCUAAUGACGGUACCUGAAGAAUAAGCACCGGCUAACUACGUGCCAGCCGCCGCCGUAAUAC
rnacentral:rRNA from 1 species